UUAUUAUUGCUUGUCACGCGGUGUUCUUUGAAAGCUUGCUCAUAUAUUAUCUGUUCCAUUUUUUUUCCAUUCUCCCUUUUUUUGCAUGCCGUUCCUCCUGUUUCUUCCCUUCCUCCAAUCCUCUGUUCCUGUCUGUAGACACCACGGCGACGACAGAACCAGCAGUUCACGGUUGGUACCACAUUACUGUUUAUCUACUUUCUCAGCGCUGCUGAGAGGCAAGGCAAGCCUGGGGAAAAGAAAUGCAGUCUUCAAGGGAACUCAUGCUUCAAAUAGACUGAUCUCAUGAAUGCACUCUAGUUUUUUUAACGCUUGACAUUACGCUGAGUCUUGUCAUUUCUGUUGUGAGUUCAGUGGCCAGUGGUUGCAGUCUGAGAUGAGCCCUCCCCUCUGGUGGCAAACGGGGCAAGAUGUCCAUCCCAUGUUCCUCUGAUAUAUAAAACUCCACCACACCUUGGAAUAAAGGAGCCUUCAAAAAUGUUUUAAUUAAAAAUGUAAAGUGUAUUUGUCUACAGAGCUAGGAGCUGUAGGCCAGAGUGUUCCAGGACUCACCAGCUUUUACCUCAGGAUUUUGGAAGGGAGUUCUUCGUCCCUCAGUGCUUGAGGCAGAGGAUCCAGGAGGAAAAUCUCUAGUUUGACCCCUGACGUGGACAGAGAAAGCCUGCUAGUCUUCUCCAUAGAAGUCCUGACUUUUCUUACAUCCUGCUGGGAAUUUACCCACCCCACCUCCCCAGGCCCUCUGCUCACUGCCGCUCCCCAAGAAUGUUCCCCAUGCCCGUUUGAACAGCAUCAAGUAAGGUUUUAAGGAAGUCUUGGAUGUGUGCCACUUGGCAAGCCAAAUAGUAAAAAGAGCAUUAAGUUUCUUUUUAGCCAAAAGGUGAUUAAAAAACAGAGUGCAUACACUUCAGACAGGGACAUCAGGGCACUCUGCCUCCUUUCCCCUGUCACCGAAAUGGGGACAAGUCUGUCAACUUUUGUUUUUGUGUUUUAUUCAGUCAGAAAAUGAGAGUCCUUUUUCAUCAGUGUAUUAUUUUGCUCCUCAGCUCAAAUCUAACUUUGGCAAGACAAUACUUAGAGCAGAUAUUUUAGUUUAAAGGGGGAGUCAUAACUGAAUCCAAGGGAAUCAUUUGGUAAAGGGUCUGCAUCAAUCACUUUAUAUGCUGUGCAGAGUGAAAAGUCUGUUACUUCAGUGACAGGAGGUGAUCACAGCCAGCCUUGUAGUCAACUCAGUUGCUAGAAUAACAUCUGUCCCACACUGACUACCGUAGAUAACUAUGUCUGAGAACUUAUAAGUUAGGAAUUUGAAUAAAACCUGUUGGGCAGUGCUUGGUCAAGAUCAGCAGGGAACCCCUUCCCCCUUUCCUCUGCUCCCUUCCCCUCCUCCCCUCAUGCCUCUCUUGCAAAGUAACACAAGCUUAAGUAGGAGACCUAACCUACCCCCACUUCACUGCCCUUUCCUGCCAUUGGGACAAAGGGAAAUGUCCAUGCAGUAAGUUAGAGGGGCCAGGUACACUGGGCGGCCAUGAGAAAUCAGUUAGGUAUAGAAUGUGCAUCUCCAAAGUAGUGUCCAUUAGAGCUAACUAUAUCUCAGGCAGCAACUCCAUUAUACUUAGUUGUUGGUAUAGUGGCCCAUACCUUUAUCCUAGCACCUGGGAGGCAGAGUCAGAUGGAUCUCUGUGAGUUCAAGGCCAGUGUGGUCUACAGAGGAGCCCUGUCUCAGGAUUGGGGGGUGGGGGGUGGGGGGCGUACUUUAGUUGUUUGUUUUACCUAUAGUUGAGUACCUCCUGACUCUUAUCGAUUAUCCUCUGAUCUUUAAGUUGGUUUCAGUGUAGUUCAAGAGAUUUUGUUUUAUUCUUUCUAAAGUACUCUUAAGUUUUGGGCUUUCUAUAAUUAGCUCCAGGGUCAAGUGCAUUCCCAACAUUCCCAAAUUCUCUGGGCUCUUUAAAGAAAUAGUGACCAUUUCUUCCCUAAAGCCCCAAAGUUCUAUGUUUUAGUUCCUCGAGAAAAAAAGAAGCACACGCCCUUGUAGGCUCAUCCUUAAGCUCCCGGACAGGGCGAGCAAACUAGAGACCUUGUCCUCUCGUCUAAAGUAUUGAGGCAUCAACUAAAAGCCAAUUCUGAUUUGGGGCAACUCAUGUUAAUUACGACUGUCUCUUUAGAAAGAGAACAAAGGAGAGAGGAGUCUCUGGACACAUGGAUUGGCAUGAUUCUAUAGCACACUGACCGCAGGACAUAGGGUUGGCUGUGCCAUGAGAAGCAGCCGCUGUCAUUCUAUCUGGAAACAGCAUCAAGCUGGGUGUAAAGGGUGAGACCAACUGGUAUGAGAUGUUUGUGGGAGAAAGUAGCAAGGCCAUCUUCCCUGUGCCCUGUAUUCCUCGUGCCUUCAGUUGGCCUGCUUAGCAGCAAACAAGUAGGUAAUCCGAGCUGGUCCCUGUAUAAUGUAUUUAUAAAUGCAUUCCUCAACUUGUCUCUGAUCCUCAUAGCUUCUCCUCAAAGGGUCUCCCACUGUUUUAACCAGCUGACUCUCAAGCCCACAGCCAAAAGCUCUAACAAGAACUAAGAUAAUGCCUGGAAUUUAACUUGAUGAAAAGGGAAGACAUUUCUGAGUCAGUUGUAAAGGGUAACAAUGUGGUGAGAGCUACAGACCAAGGCAGCAGAGCAACAAGGCCAUUAUAUGAUAUCGUCAAUUUUAGCCUAGUGCUAGAGGCUCAGCUCUUCAGUACAGCAACCGCAUGACAGAUUCACUUGAUGACCUCAAGAUGGUCCUAACAGUGACUUGUCCCAGGGGGGGGCGGGAGGGGGAACAAGUUAAGUGGCUUGAUAACUCAGCAACUUAAAUGACAAGACAUCCUAAGUCAGCCAGCUGUGACCAUCUUAGUGGUCUCAAAAGUGUUAUACUGGGUUUUCCAGAUGGCUGUUUUCUUUGAUUU
rnacentral:lncRNA from 1 species